UAGGAGAAGACAUGAGAGAAGUACUCGGGACCAGAUAGGACAGCAGAAAGCAAGGCAGACCCUGAGCUCACAGAGGUCUGAGUGGAGCCUAAACAUGGUCUAAUGGACCAUCUCUUUUUGCUGACCUUUGUCUUCUGUUCAAUCUCGUGGAUUUUCUUCUGGGAGGUACGCUGGAAGAAAAGCAAGGAAAAUCUGAUUGAAGAAUGGCUGCAGAGACAAAGCCUAUCCGAAUACAAGUAUUUGUUUGAAGAUGUUCAGACUCUGGAGGAGCUGAGUUUAUGUGUGCUGUCUCGACUGGAGGAAGUGGUAAAGGCAAAGCAUCACUGGAGGGAGAUUACUGAGGCCCAAGUGCAGCUUCUUAGAGACUUUGCCUUCCAGGAGUGGCUUUGUUCCCAGAGUCUGGAGCACUACUAUCACACCCUGAAGACCCUGGGCUGCACUACCCUGGAUGAUCUAGCACAGUUUGACAGCCAGCUUCAACUCUCUCUAGCUGCGUGGGGCUAUUACUACGAGGAUUACAUCAAACUGUCCACAGGCGUGAGGGUCCUCCAGGCAUCUAAGGGAAAUAGAGAUCAAGACUACGAGAUUCAGUUGGUGCACAGCCUUGCUGAGAGGCGGCUGAAUGAGAAGUGGUCUUUGGGUAUGUAUCCUAUUGUUCAAAUUUAUUUAUUCUUGUUUAAAGGUGCGUGAUGUAUGUAGGAUUGACACCGAGUGUUUGAGCUAGGUAAUGCAGUCCAAAUUCAAAAUAUUGGAGAGGGUUUUUUUCAUCCGGCCACUCCUCCUCAGACUUGACACACACGCAGGUUGCCAGAUUGAUGACACCAACAGGAACGAACGCACUUGACGAUGAAUGAAAUGAAAUAUGAUGUGUUUCCCGCCAACUGGCAACCCGGGGUGCCGAAAUGCAUUUGGGUAAAUUGGCAGUGGGUGGGUUUCAAAACCAAAACAUAGACUGAUAUUCCGGCCCGGAACGCACAUUUUCAAAGGAGAAUAACUGACUGUAGCAUUGUUUUUCAGAUAACCAAGUACGUUAACUUAGCAUGUUUCUUAAAUAUCUGCAAACAUAUAAUGGUAUUUUUAUGCUUUAGUAGAGUCAAAAACUUACAUACACCUUUAAGUAAUUUGUCAAAAACAGAGGUCAUUUAGCAGACGCUUUUAUCCAAAAUGACUUACAAAUUAGGAGAAUAAUAGAAGCAGCCAGACCAACAAGAGAGCAACAGUAUACAAGUGCUGUGACAAGUCUCAGUUAGUCUAGCACAAUACACAUAGCAUGGCGUUUUUUUUGAUAGUUUUUUUUUUAUAAAUAAAUUAGAGCAAAUAUAAUAGGUCAGGUGCAUAAUGUGAAAAAGAUGUCUUUUUCAGACUCAGCUGUUCGAACUGAGAUAGGCAGGUCAUUCUACCAGCUGGGAACAGUCCAGGAAAACAUCUGUGAGAGUCAUUUAUGCCUCUUUGGGAUGGCAUCACGAGGCGUCGGUCACUUGCAAGCUUCUGCAGGGCGCACAAGUCUGAACUAGUAAGUUUAGGUAUAUUGGUGCAGCACCAAUGGUUGUCUUGCAGGCAAACAUCAAUACCUUGAAUUUGAUGUGAGUGGCUAUUGGCAGCCAGUCCAAACUGAUGAAGAGAGGCAUGACGUGGGCUUUCUUUGGCUUGUUGAAGACCACUCUCGCUGCUGCAUUCUGGAUCACUUGAAGAGAUAGUACAUGCUGGAAGGCCCGCCAAGAGAGCAUUACAAUAGUCCAGUCUGGAGAGAACAAGGACAAGGAGUUGUGCGGCCUGCUGUGAUAGGAAGGGUCUUACCUCCCUAAUGUUGUAUAACUGUGCGUUCACACCGCCGGCGUCGAGAGCGUCAAAAAUCGCUCUGGCCGCCCUGCUCACAACGCUGCAGAAAGAUUCGUGAGCGCUCUGACGCUCUGACGUAGAUCGAAUGCUUAUCGUGUAUUUAAAGUGGCCGCAAAGCAAACAAGCUUGUUGAUCUUGUGCAGACUGACCACAAUGAGCGUAACGUUAUAAGUUAACCUCAUUAAAUAUUGUUGUGGACGAAGUAUUAAGAUCCUUUACCUAAUGAUGUAUAAAGCACUGUAAAAAUACUCUGAUGCAAGUAAAAGUCCUGCAUUAAAAAUGUUACUUAAGUAAAUAUAAUCAAGUAUAAACAUUACUUAAUGUACGUAUAAUCAAGGAAAUUUUUAAAAAAGUAAACUGGGACUACUGUAGCCUAGUAUUAUUUAUUAUAUCAUUAGAUUAUUAUUCUUAUAUCGUUACUGCACCACCUUGGUCCACGUAUCAUUUUAAUAAUUUUUUAUGUCCCUGUACGCAAACAGGGACACAUCAUAGAUUACUGCAAACCCGCCACAGCAAUAAUCAACCUUUUGUUUUGAGAACUAAUGUGGUUGGAGCUGCGUUCUCUAUCCUCUCAAGCGGUGGACUUCUACGUUCUGAUUGGUUGCUGCCCAACCGCGUCAUAGAUCAUUACCAUAAAGUUGCCCUGAUUUCAACUCUCCUCGACGCUCUCAACGGCCAAGUCGCGCCGCGCCGCUCCUCGCCGCUGCUCGACGCCGGCUCACAUUGAAAAUGAAUGACUUCCGGCCACUUUGACGCUCUCGACGCUGGCGGUGUGAACGCACAGUUAGAGAUCGACCGAUAUGGGUUUUUCUAUAGCCGAUGCCGAUGCCGAUGUUUAGAGGUCAGGGUCAGCCGAUGGCCGAUAUGUGCUGCCGAUUUUUAGGGCUGAUAACUUGAAGUUUUCCCCCUCAUUUGCAUGCUAAAAUGUCACACUAAUAAUAAGUGGAUGCACAACAUUUCUAAACUUAUCAUUUAUUGAGCACUGACUUGAACCAUCUCUCGAAUCUUAAUUUUGUGCACUGCACGGUAUUACACAUAAAAAAAAAUAUUAAGAUCCUUUACCUAAUGAUGUAUAAAGCACUGUAAAAAUACUCUGAUGCAAGUAAAAGUCCUGCAUUAAAAAUGUUACUUAAGUAAAUAUAAUCAAGUAUAAACAUUACUUAAUGUACGUAUAAUCAAGGAAAUUUUUUAAAAAGUAAACUGGGACUACUGUAGCCUAGUAUUAUUUAUUAUAUCAUUAGAUUAUUAUUCUUAUAUCGUUACUGCACAUCAGCAACUCACCAGAAACAUGAACAAUUUCAGACACCUUGGUCCACGUAUCAUUUUUAAUUAAUUUUUUUAUGUCCCUGUACGCAAACAGGGACACAUCAUAGAUUACUGCAAACCCGCCACAGCAAUAAUCAACCUUUUGUUUUGAGAACUAAUGUGGUUGGAGCUGCGUUCUCUAUCCUCUCAAGCGGUGGACUUCUACGUUCUGAUUGGUUGCUGCCCAACCGCGUCAUAGAUCAUUACCAUAAAGUUGCCCUGAUUUCAACUCUCCUCGACGCUCUCAACGGCCAAGUCGCGCCGCGCCGUCGCCGCUGCUCGACGCCGGCUCACAUUGAAAAUGAAUGACUUCCGGCCACUUUGACGCUCUCGACGCUGGCGGUGUGAACGCACAGUAAGGCAAAUCUGCAGUACCGGGCCGUUGUGAAGCUUAAUUGAUCAUCAAUCACAACUCCCAAGGUUCCUGGCUGUUCUGGCAGGAGUUAUGGUUGACGAACCUAGCUGUAUAGAGGAGUUGUAAUGAAGUGCUAGGUUGGCUGAGACCAUGAGCCAAACUGACCACGAGCAGUUGUGUCUUAGCAAGGUUAAGCUGAAGGUGAUGUUCCUUCAUCCAGCCAGAAAUAUGUGUCAGACAUUUUGCAAUGUGAACAGCUACUGUCGGUUUAUCUGGUUGGAAUGAGAAGUAGAGUUGAGUGUCAUCAUCAUAGCCGUGAUGGGAAAAGCCAUGCUUCUGAAUGACAGAUCCUAAUGAUGACAUGAAGAUGGAGAAGAGAAGUUGUCCAAGCACUGAACCCUGAGGAACCCCUGUAGCCAAAUUGGUUGUUGUCCAGGAGGUUGUUCUGUGCAAGAGAGUUGAUGAAAAACGACUCGCUCAAGUGUCUAUGCAAUGAAUGGAAGAAGGGUUACCGGUCUGUAGUUUUCUAAAAGUGCUGGAUUUAGAGAGGGGUUCUUAAGCAGUGGGGUUACACAAGCCUGCUUAAAUGCAAUGGGAAAUGCACCAAUGUGAAGUGUUGAUUAUGUGAGUGAGCGCAAGUAUAACUGAAGAAGAAAUGGCCUAAAGGAGGUGAGUGGGGAUAGGAUCAAGCAGACAGGUAGUAGGAUGAUUGAAAAGAAUAUGUUUGGAAUUGUCUGUCUCCGAGAGUGGAGAGAAGGAGGAGAGAGAGUGUGUAUUUUUUUAUUAAGUUUUUGUCAUUUUGUGGUAUGGAGUAUUGGCUGCUGAUGGUUCUUGUAUUAUUUAUGAAGAAUAUUGCAAAGUCGUCAGCUGUAAGAGUUGAUAAAUUUUUUGAUUUGUGCUGCUUCCUCUCUGUAGCCCUGAGCCUAGAGCGAUUAUUCACAGUGAACAUCGCACAGCCAAGGGGCAGGAGGGGGUAGUAGCCUAGAGCGAUUAUUCACAGUGAACAUCGCACAGCCAAGGGGCAGAGGGGUAGUGCGUGCUGGUCUGGAUGAAAGGGGCAAAAGUUGCCUAAGCAAAAUGUUAGAGUGGAGCAAAGAGUUUCAGUAGCAGUGUCCAAUGCUGAAAACUGAGAGGGAGGAGGAAGUGAGGAUGAAACCAUAGAAAAUAGGCUAGAGGGAGAGAGUGAGAUUACGAGAGAGAUUAUGCCAAAAAAGUAAAGAAAGGGGAGUAGAACAAUACUCAAGUGCCUUGUCAGUGUUCUUGCUCUGCUCGCUCAAGAUAGAGUCAAUGGUCUUUACACUCAUGUGUCUUCACCCAAGGGUUGCCGCAACUGCAGUAUACUAACCAAUUAUAUUCUUGCCUGAUACCUCGUAAUUGAAUUCGGCUGACCCAUGCCUUACUUGUUACCAAAACUGAAAAGCCACGUGACAUAGGGCUGGGCGAUAAAUCGAUUUUAUCGAUUAACUCGAAUGUGUAGUUUACAUUGGUUUGUUUGAAUGAAAAUCGGUUUUCUUUUUAACAUCCACCGACGCUCCACUCAGGGCUCCCGUUGUUCCGAUUGGGCUCAACCCUCCUCCGUGCGUUUGCCAUAAAGACAUGCUGCCGAGCAAAGUAUGUUUCUCGGGAGCGCGGAGUAGAGCAGUGUGAUUUUGACUGGAGCGAGGCGCGGGUUUUUUAAAAGUCAGAGUGUCGUGGUUUUCACUCGCUCCAAGAGCACUCCUCCACUGCUCCAUCACGAGUACAAUUCAUGCCAACGGCCCAUAAUAUAACUGCAUAUUUAGCAAUAAUUCACAUGUUAAACAUAUUUAGCUAUAGCUUGAUACAGAUGAAUCUCUCGAUCAGAAGGUUAUAAUGAUG
rnacentral:lncRNA from 1 species